UGCCAGCAGCCGCGGUAAUACGUAGGAUGCAAGCGUUGUCCGGAAUCACUGGGCGUAAAGGGUCCGUAGGCGGUUUGUUAAGUCUCCUGUGAAAGUUCAAGGCUCAACCUUGAAAUGUCGGGGGAUACUGGCAAACUUGAGACUGUCAGAGGCAAGUGGAAUUCCCGGUGUAGUGGUGAAAUGCGUAGAUAUCGGGAGGAACACCAGUGGCGAAAGCGGCUUGCUGGGACAGUUCUGACGCUGAGGGACGAAAGCGUGGGUAGCAAACCGGAUUAGAUA
rnacentral:rRNA from 1 species